UACGAAGGGUGCAAGCGUUACUCGGAGUUACUGGGCGUAAAGCGUGCGUAGGCGGUCUGUCGCGUCGGCUGUGAAAACUUGGGGCUCAACCCCAAGCCUGCAGUCGAUACGGGCAGACUAGAGUCUGGCAGGGGAGACUGGAAUUCCUGGUGUAGCGGUGAAAUGCGCAGAUAUCAGGAGGAACAUCGGUGGCGAAGGCGGGUCUCUGGGCCGGAACUGACGCUGAGGAGCGAAAGCGUGGGGAGCGAACAGG
rnacentral:rRNA from 1 species